AGACUUUGCCCAGCCCGUAUCUGAGGUAUUCCACAUCACAUCUGAGGGUGUUAAAUCUAGCCAGAACCUGGGAAAACAAAGAGUAGCCCUGAUGUACAUAGGAAAGUAAAUAUAAAAGACCAGGACAUAAGUCAUCAUCUUUGCAGUUUUGACACUUCAAGUUGCACUUCUGUGGAAGUAUACCUUCCAUUUACAGAUAAUCCUAAGCCAAAACUGCUGUGGGUAUGUGCAGUCAUUUUCGGAUAUCCACUUGUUCCACUGGUAAAGAACAUGGCCAUGAUCUCAUUGUGUUUUGUCUUCACACAGGUGUGGCUGUCACUGGCACAUCUGCAAAGGAAAAACUACAGUGACUGCAUGUUAAACACAGCAUCAUAGACUGUUACCACUGAAACAUUUUGAGAAGCUAUCCACUUGAACCUCUUCAUGUCGUGAAUCAGGUGCCAGUGGGUUAGCCUGAAUUACAGGGUGACACAGGAGGCAAGACAAUUGGGGAACACAUGUCUGCCAUUCCUGGACUCUUGACACUGGCUCAUCAUUUCACUUUGGGAAGGACCAGUCCUCUCCAGCAGGGUUCUUCAAGAAACCGACAACCAGGACCAGAAAACAGGAUCUCACUCUGUCACCCAGACUGGACUCUAGUGGCACGAC